UUGGGAAUAUUGGACAAUGGGCGAAAGCCUGAUCCAGCAAUGCCGCGUGAAUGAUGAAGGCCUUCGGGUCGUAAAGUUCUUUCAGCGGGGACGAAGGGAAACUUGACGGUACCCGCAGAAGAAGCACCGGCUAACUCCGUGCCAGCAGCCGCGGUAAUACGGAGGGUGCAAGCGUUGUUCGGAAUCAUUGGGCGUAAAGCGCGUGUAGGCGGUCACUUUAGUCUGGUGUGAAAUCCCGGGGCUCAACCCCGGAAGUGCAUUGGAUACUGGGUGGCUAGAGGACGAGAGAGGGAAGCGGAAUUCCUGGUGUAGGGGUGAAAUCCGUAGAUAUCAGGAGGAACAUCGGUGGCGAAGGCGGCUUCCUGGCUCGUACCUGACGCUGAGACGCGAAAGCGUGGGGAGCAAACAGG
rnacentral:rRNA from 1 species